AAGCAACAAAUGCCCUGCUUCCAGGAAAAGCCUCUAAGCAUCAGGUAACACGAAAUCGUACCCCAAACCGACACAGGUGGUCAGGUAGAGAAUACCAAGGCGCUUGAGAGAACUCGGGUGAAGGAACUAGGCAAAAUGGUGCCGUAACUUCGGGAGAAGGCACGCUGACACGUAGGUGAAGUGAUUUACUCAUGGAGCUGAAGUCAGUCGAAGAUACCAGCUGGCUGCAACUGUUUAUUAAAAACACAGCACUGUGCAAACACGAAAGUGGACGUAUACGGUGUGACGCCUGCCCGGUGCCGGAAGGUUAAUUGAUGGGGUCAGCGCAAGCGAAGCUCCUGAUCGAAGCCCCGGUAAACGGCGGCCGUAACUAUAACGGUCCUAAGGUAGCGAAAUUCCUUGUCGGGUAAGUUCCGACCUGCACGAAUGGCGUAAUGAUGGCCAGGCUGUCUCCACCCGAGACUCAGUGAAAUUGAACUCGCUGUGAAGAUGCAGUGUACCCGCGGCAAGACGGAAAGACCCCGUGAACCUUUACUAUAGCUUGACACUGAACAUUGAGCCUUGAUGUGUAGGAUAGGUGGGAGGCUUUGAAGUGUGGACGCCAGUCUGCAUGGAGCCGACCUUGAAAUACCACCCUUUAAUGUUUGAUGUUCUAACGUGGACCCGUAAUCCGGGUUGCGGACAGUGUCUGGUGGGUAGUUUGACUGGGGCGGUCUCCUCCUAAAGAGUAACGGAGGAGCACGAAGGUUGGCUAAUCCUGGUCGGACAUCAGGAGGUUAGUGCAAUGGCAUAAGCCAGCUUGACUGCGAGCGUGACGGCGCGAGCAGGUGCGAAAGCAGGUCAUAGUGAUCCGGUGGUUCUGAAUGGAAGGGCCAUCGCUCAACGGAUAAAAGGUACUCCGGGGAUAACAGGCUGAUACCGCCCAAGAGUUCAUAUCGACGGCGGUGUUUGGCACCUCGAUGUCGGCUCAUCACAUCCUGGGGCUGAAGUAGGUCCCAAGGGUAUGGCUGUUCGCCAUUUAAAGUGGUACGCGAGCUGGGUUUAGAACGUCGUGAGACAGUUCGGUCCCUAUCUGCCGUGGGCGCUGGAGAACUGAGGGGGGCUGCUCCUAGUACGAGAGGACCGGAGUGGACGCAUCACUGGUGUUCGGGUUGUCAUGCCAAUGGCACUGCCCGGUAGCUAAAUGCGGAAGAGAUAAGUGCUGAAAGCAUCUAAGCACGAAACUUGCCCCGAGAUGAGUUCUCCCUGAGACUUUAGGUCUCCUGAAGGAACGUUGAAGACGACGACGUUGAUAGGCCGGGUGUGUAAGCGCAGCGAUGCGUUGAGCUAACCGGUACUAAUGAACCGUGAGGCUUAACCUUACAACGCCGAAG
rnacentral:rRNA from 1 species